rnacentral:tRNA from 1 species
AAGGCGCUAGUAAAUCCAUUAUACUGCCCUGUCUCGGCAGAGUCGCGGGUUAGACCCCCGCGCGCCUUG